ensembl:lncRNA
CUUCCAUAUAAUUUCUUGCAUUCAAAUACACUCACUAGGCAUUUGCUUAGAGAAAAUGUAUUAUGUGAGGAUGAAGAGUUUUUAAUCUGCAGAGGGUCCUAUGCUAUUGAAGCAGCUACUGUCAGUUGCUGAGUAACAGAGAAAAGAAAUCAGCUCACUCUUCACUGCAAGAUCCUGCAAGCUUGGUUAUCUGAAAUUAUUUGCAGCUGAGACAGCCAAUGUAUCCUGAGCUGCAUCAGAAGAAGCGUGGCCAGCAGGGAGAGAGAGAUGAUUGUCCCCCUCCACUCAGCCCAUGUGAGACCCCACUAGCAGUAUUGCGCUCAGCUCUGAGGAUCCCAGUGGGGGGUAUGUUCCUUAUUUCUCAAAAGAAAUGCAUCCCGACAGGAAAGUUGCCAAGGAAUAUCAAAGAUGUAGAUGAGCCUUUGACUGAAUAAACACUGGAUAAGUUAGAUAUUUUUGGUUAGGAUGGAAAAACUGAGAAGUCAUUUGAUAGAUUAACAACAGCAAGAAGAAUAAAGAUGGAUUACUUGUUCCUAUACCAGAUAAAACUGUCAGAAGGCAGAGUCAAAACAAACAGGAGAUAUCUCACAAGCAUCAUUACAAUACAGAACUCCUCCCUUGGAUGCACAGAGGUUAACUUAAAAGAAGGAAAAGACAUCAGAGCAAAUUAAAUAUAAUGAUAAUAGCUACAGAUUAGACAGCUCUUGAAGAACAGAUUGUUGUAAGAUAGGAGAAUGUAAUAGGAAGUAUCAUGUCUAAUUUCUUGCUUGUAAUCCUCAGCAUCUGAUACUUGUCCACUGCCAAGGACAACAAAGUUGUCUGGAAGAUCUUGCUUAUUUCAGCUGGUCUAGUAUUCUUUACUGCACACUAAUUUCCCUUCCACCAUGAGGCAGAGUACAAUUUGAAUCUUGCAAAUAUUCACAAGGUUUGAUAGAAAUAUAUUCCAAGAUUUCAGAAAAACCCUGUUGAACUGAAAAAAAAAAACAAAAAAAAAAAAACAAAAAACUCUUCCCAUUUUUUCUCUCUGCCAUUUUACAAACUUCAAAAAUUAAGCAUCCAGUUUUAUGUAUGACUCAUGGAAUACUGAAUAUAUCAGGGAAAGUGAUUACAAGUUUACUGCUCAUGAUGAAAUUAGUGACUUACUGUUGCAUAAAGUUUGACAAUCAGAAAUUCCACACAUACUUGUAUGCUUCAUAAGGAUUCUGUACACGAGCAGAUUUCUUGAACUUCAGAAAGCUGGCUAAUGUGUUACAACUUCUUUGCUUUCUACAAAUACCUGAAAGGAGAUUGCAAUGAAGAGGAUGUUGAUUGCAGAUGACAAGUAAUAGAAUGUGAGGAAAUGGCCUCAAAAUUCAUGAAGGGAGAUUUAUAUUGGUAUCUGUAAGCAUCUCUUCAUCAAAAAAAUGAUUAGGAACAUGCUAUCCAUGCAAACAGUGAAAUCAUCAUCCUUAAUUUAAGAGAUGUGUGACCAUGGCACUCAUGGGCAUGAUUUAGUGGUGAGACUCUGUAGGUCAGAUUGAUGGUUAGACUUGAUGACCUCAAAAGCUGUUUCAACAUGGAUGAGUCUAUGAUUUGAUGACUCUAAUUAUUUUUCCUAAUUAAAUUUGGAUUAUCUUAUCAUUUUGAAAGUGUUGUGUCACUAAACAAAGUAAAAAUAAUUUUCAUGCUUUUACAAUAUUACAUUUAAGGUUUUGCUGGACACUAUCUUGUCUCUGGGUUUUAACAGUUU